rnacentral:rRNA from 2 species
AUAAGCAUUAUACGGCGAAACUGCGAAUGGCUCAUUAUAUAAGUUAUCGUUUAUUUGAUAGCACAUUACUACUUGGAUAACCGUGGUAAUUCUAGAGCUAAUACAUGCUAAAAAUCCCGACUUCGGAAGGGAUGUAUUUAUUAGAUUAAAAACCAAUGCCCUCUGGGCUCUCUGGUGAAUCAUGAUAACUGCUCGAAUCGCAGGGCCUCGUGCCGGCGAUGGUUCAUUCAAAUUUCUUCCCUAUCAACUUUCGAUGUUUGGGUAUUGGCCAAACAUGGUUACAACGGGUAACGGAGGGUUAGGGCUCGACCCCGGAGAAGGAGCCUGAGAGACGGCUACUACAUCCAAGGAAGGCAGCAGGCGCGCAAAUUACCCAAUCCCGACACGGGGAGGUAGUGACAAUAAAUACUGAUACAGGGCUCUUUCGGGUCUUGUAAUUGGAAUGAGUACAAUUUAAAUCCCUUAACGAGGAACAAUUGGAGGGCAAGUCUGGGC